rnacentral:rRNA from 1 species
UACAGAGGUCCCAAGCGUUGUUCGGAUUCACUGGGCGUAAAGGGUGCGUAGGUGGCGGGGUAAGUCGGAUGUGAAAUCUCCGAGCUCAACUCGGAAAUGGCAUUGGAAACUACCUUGCUUGAGGGUUGGAGGGGGGACUGGAAUACUUGGUGUAGCAGUGAAAUGCGUAGAUAUCAAGUGGAACACCAGUGGCGAAGGCGAGUCCCUGGACAACUCCUGACACUGAGGCAACGAAAAGCUAGGGGGAGCAAACAGG